rnacentral:rRNA from 1 species
CCUACGGGCGGCAGCAGUGGGGAAUAUUGCACAAUGGGGGAAACCCUGAUGCAGCAAUGCCGCGUGAAUGAAGACGGUUUUCGGAUUGUAAACUUCUGUUCUUAGUGAAGAAUAAUGACGGUAGCUAAGGAGCAAGCCACGGCUAACUACGUGCCAGCAGCCGCGGUAAUACGGAGGAUGCGAGCGUUAUACGUAUUUAUUGUGUUUAAAGGGUGCGCAGGCGGAAGAUCAAGUCAGCGGUAAAAUUGAUAGGCUCAACCUCUUCGAGCCGUUGACACUGGUUUUCUUGAGUGAGCGAGAAGUGUGCAGAAUGCGUGGUGUAGCGGUGAAAUGCAUAGAUAUCACGCAGAACUCCGAUUGCGAAGGCAGCAUACCGGCGCUCAACUGACGCUCAUGCACGAAAGUGUGGGUAUCGAACAGGAUUAGAUACCCGAGUAGUC